rnacentral:rRNA from 1 species
UAUUAAUACUUCAUAGGUUUAUAAACUAAAUUAAAGAGGCUCCUCUGGGGCCUUGCGUAAAACUAGGAAUAUGUCCUAUUAGGUAGUUGGCGGGGUAAAGGCCCACCAAGCCAAUGAUGGGUAGCUGGACUGAGAGGUUGAACAGCCGCAAUGGGAUUGAGAUAUGGCCCAUAUUCCUACGGGAAGCAGCAGUGAGGAAUUUUUCACAAUGGACGAAAGUCUGAUGGAGCAAUACCACGUGAACGAUGAAGGUCUUCUGAUUGUAAAGUUCUUUUAUUUAGGAAAAAAAGCGUGCUAGGAAAUGAGCGCGCCUUGAUGGUACUAAUUGAAUAAGUGACAGCUAACUAUGUGCCAGCAGCUGCGGUAAAACAUAGGUCACGAGCAUUAUCCGGAUUUAUUGGGCGUAAAGGAAGCGUAGGCGGGGAGGUUGAUCCAUUGUUAAAAGCAUUUGCUUAACAAAUGUGUGCAUUGGAGAUCGCCUCCCUAGAGUUAAUCAGGGGGUACUGGAAUUCAAUGUGUAGCGGUGGAAUGCGUAGAUAUAUUGAGGAACACCAGAGGCUAAGGCGAGUGCCUAGGAUAUAACUGACGCUGAGGCUUGAAAGCGUGGGGAGCAAAUGGGAUUAGAUACCCCAGUAGUCCACGCCGUAAACGAUGAGCAUUGGGCA